GCCCAUGCCUAAAGAUAAGCAAUGGCUUUCACCAUCUGCAGAUAACGCCUCGGAAGUCCUCAAAGUGAAACAGCUACCGAGGUGAACUGAACUGCAGAAGGACGUGGUCAGGUCAGACACGACCUUUUAGAAUAAGUGACCUGAGGUCCUCAUUUUCAACUAUAUCAACGUCACCAGUAAUGACUAUGCUGGACUAUGGUUAAAAGAAGACGAAAAACAAGAACACGUAGUUUUUGACCACCUGUAGGCCCUGGGUAUGCAGAAGUCUUGAUGUUUAUUGUUUAUGUCAUCCUAUUUCCAAAGAUGUCUCAUACCAACUUUCAAAAGAAUUAAAAGGAC